UACGUAGGUGGCAAGCGUUGUUCGGAAUUAUUGGGCGUAAAGGGCGCGUAGGCGGAUAGUUUAGUCAGAGGUGAAAGCCCAGGGCUCAACCUUGGAACUGCCUUUGAUACUGGCUAUCUUGAGUACGGGAGAGGUGAGUGGAACUCCGAGUGUAGAGGUGAAAUUCGUAGAUAUUCGGAAGAACACCAGUGGCGAAGGCGACUCACUGGCCCGUUACUGACGCUGAGGCGCGAAAGCGUGGGGAGCAAACAGG
rnacentral:rRNA from 1 species